rnacentral:rRNA from 1 species
CGGAGGAUCCAAGCGUUAUCCGGAAUCAUUGGGUUUAAAGGGUCCGUAGGCGGUUUUAUAAGUCAGUGGUGAAAUCUGGUCGCUCAACGAUCAAACGGCCAUUGAUACUGUAGAACUUGAAUUACUUGGAAGUAACUAGAAUAUGUAGUGUAGCGGUGAAAUGCUUAGAGGUUACAUGGAAUACCAAUUGCGAAGGCAGGUUACUACAAGUGGAUUGACGCUGAUGGACGAAAGCGUGGGGAGCGAACAGGAUUAGAUACCCUGGUAGUCCACGCCGUAAACGAUGGAUACUAGCUGUUCGGAGCAAUCUGAGUGGCUAAGCGAAAGUGAUAAGUAUCCCACCUGGGGAGUACGAACGCAAGUUUG